CAUGAUACUUGGACGUUGAAAGAAAGAAAAAACUCAAAUUUAAUUUUGAAGGUACUUUUAAUAACCAAAGGAAUAUAAUUCCAAAAGAUUUUUCUAUAUAGACACUAGAUUUUUUUUCUUUGUAAACCCCAAAUCAUGGGGCAGUUUAUACCAUAAGCCAAAAGAAGGAAUAUAUAAAGGAGACAAAUCCCUACCUCUUACAAAUAAAACUGAAAGGAAACCAUUCCUAUAGUUAGGCAUAAGAAAAAUAAAAAAAAAAGCAAAAAAGGAGGGUUGCUCCUAAUAGAGUUUAACCUUUCAAAAUAGUGAUUGUGUUAAAAGAAUUAGACACAUCAAAGGAAAAAGCCAGCUUGGCUCAAAUAUGAAGAGGCUUUUCUUUGACCGGAUUCUGAAGUUUGGGCUCCCGUUUUCCUCAUUCUUCAUUGUGGCUAUUAUCCUCCUUGGUCAAAUUUUGUUUUGUACAUCACUUUCAACUUCGGCAUUUACUUGAGAGGAGACUUUGCAGCAGGGUCCCCCUCAGCUUUGUUCCGAAGUCGGCCAAAUCCCUCUGGAGUUCAUCAAACUGCCUUUGAAGUUUCCGUAAGAACUCAAUAUGGAUAUUCUUGUAUGAAUCUGGAUCAGCUAUAUUUGUAUUGUAAGUGUAGUAGAAUGAACGAGUGAGAGUGAGUGAUAUGUAAGGAGGCUAGAGAGACCUAUUUAUAAAUGAUUGAAUUGGAAGGGGUUAGUCAAAUAAAAAGCCACGACUGUUCAUAUCCCUUAA